UACGUAGGGUCCGAGCGUUGUCCGGAGUACUGGGCGUAAAGCGCGCGCAGGCGGCUCGGCAAGCAUGGCGUGAAAGCCCCCGGCCUCAACCCGGGGGAGAGUCGUCGUGGACUGUCGAGCUUGAGGGCGGUAGGGGUUGGUGGAAUCCCGGUGUAGUGGUGAAAUGCGUAGAGAUCGGGGAGGAACACCCGUGGCGAAGGCGGCCAACUGGGCCGACCCUGACGCUGAGGCGCGGAAGCGUGGGGAGCGAACGGG
rnacentral:rRNA from 1 species